rnacentral:rRNA from 1 species
UGGGGAAUUUUGGACAAUGGGCGCAAGCCUGAUCCAGCCAUGCCGCGUGUCUGAAGAAGGCCUUCGGGUUGUAAAGGACUUUUGUCAGGGAAGAAAAGGCUGUUGCUAAUACCGACAGCUGAUGACGGUACCUGAAGAAUAAGCACCGGCUAACUACGUGCCAGCAGCCGCGGUAAUACGUAGGGUGCGAGCGUUAAUCGGAAUUACUGGGCGUAAAGCGAGCGCAGACGGUUACUUAAGCAGGAUGUGAAAUCCCCGGGCUCAACCUGGGAACUGCGUUCUGAACUGGGUGACUAGAGUGUGUCAGAGGGAGGUAGAAUUCCACGUGUAGCAGUGAAAUGCGUAGAGAUGUGGAGGAAUACCGAUGGCGAAGGCAGCCUCCUGGGAUAACACUGACGUUCAUGCUCGAAAGCGUGGGUAGCAAACAGGAUUAGAUACCCUGGUAGUCCACGCCGUAAACGAUGAGUGCUAAGUGUUAGGGGGUUUCCGCCCCUUAGUGCUGCAGCUAACGCAUUAAGCACUCCGCCUGGGGAGUACGACCGCAAGGUUG